GCACCUCAUAAAACGGGUGCCGGGAUUGGAACCCCGCAGACUAACAGAGCGCACAACCGCGCCAGCGGUUUUUUU
rfam:Citrobacter rodentium ICC168, complete genome